CUACGGGGUGCUCCAGUGGGGAAUAUUGGGCAAUGGGCGAAAGCCUGACCCAGCAACGCCGCGUGAUUGAAGAAGGUCUUCGGAUUGUAAAAAUCUGUCCUUGGGGACGAAAAAAAUGACGGUACCCAAGGAGGGAGCCCCGGCUAGCUACGUGCCAGCAGCUGCGGUAAUACGUAGGGGGCGAGCGUUGUCCGGAAUUACUGGGCGUAAAGGGUGCGCAGGCGGCGCUUUAAGUCAGAUGUGAAAUACCCAGGCUUAACCUGGGGGGUGCAUUUGAAACUGGAGUGCUUGAGUGCAGGAGAGGAAAGUGGAAUUCCUAGUGUAGCGGUGAAAUGCGUAGAUAUUAGGAGGAACACCAGUGGCGAAGGCGACUUUCUGGACUGUAACUGACGCUGAGGCACGAAAGCGUGGGGAGCAAACAGGAUUAGAUACCCGGGUAGUC
rnacentral:rRNA from 1 species